GAACGAGCGGCGGACGGGUGAGUAACACGUGGGCAACCUGCCUGUAAGACCGGAAUAACCCCGGGAAACCGGGGCUAAUGCCGGGUAAUACUUUUCUUCGCAUGAAGGAAAGUUGAAAGAUGGCUUCUUGCUAUCACUUACAGAUGGGCCCGCGGCGCAUUAGCUAGUUGGUGAGGUAACGGCUCACCAAGGCGACGAUGCGUAGCCGACCUGAGAGGGUGAUCGGCCACACUGGGACUGAGACACGGCCCAGACUCCUACGGGAGGCAGCAGUAGGGAAUCUUCCGCAAUGGACGAAAGUCUGACGGAGCAACGCCGCGUGAACGAUGAAGGUCUUCGGAUCGUAAAGUUCUGUUGUUAGGGAAGAACAAGUACCGUGCGAAUAGAGCGGUACCUUGACGGUACCUAACGAGGAAGCCCCGGCUAACUACGUGCCAGCAGCCGCGGUAAUACGUAGGGGGCAAGCGUUGUCCGGAAUUAUUGGGCGUAAAGCGCGCGCAGGCGGUUCCUUAAGUCUGAUGUGAAAGCCCA
rnacentral:rRNA from 2 species